rnacentral:rRNA from 1 species
CAGUAGCCGCGGUAAUACGUAGGGUGCAAGCGUUAAUCGGAAUUACUGGGCGUAAAGCGUGCGCAGGCGGUUUGUUAAGACAGAUGUGAAAUCCCCGGGCUCAACCUGGGAACUGCAUUUGUGACUGGCAAGCUAGAGUCUGGCAGAGGGGGGUGGAAUUCCGCGUGUAGCAGUGAAAUGCGUAGAUAUGCGGAGGAACACCGAUGGCGAAGGCAGCCCCCUGGGCCAAUACUAACGCUCAUGCACGAAAGCGUGGGGAGCAGACAGGAUUAGAUACCCCGGUAGUCCCUGUCUCUUAUAC